AAGGAGUCUAACAUGUGUGCAAGUGUUCGGGAGUCAAGUCCCAAGCGCGAAAUUAACGUAAAGGUGGGUUUCGGCCCGCUGAGGUAGGAAGCUUCGGCUGCACUAUCGACCGACCAUGAUCCUUCGAGUGAAAGGUUUGAGUGUGAGCAUACAUGUUGGGACCCGAAAGAUGGUGAACUAUGCUUGAGUAGGACGAAGCCAGGGGAAACUCUGGUGGAGGUCCGUAGCGAUUCUAACGUGCAAAUUGAUCGUCGAACUUGAGUAUAGGGGCGAAAGACUAAUCGAACCAUCUAGUAGCUGGUUCCUCCCGAAAUUUCCCUUAGGAUAGCUGCAACCGAACAGUUUUAUCAGGUAAAGCGAAUGAUUAGAGGCCUCAGGGGUGAAAUGCUCUUGACCUAUUCUCAAACUUUAAAUGGGUAAGAGCCCCGAGUUGCUUAAUUGAACUCGGCGGUCGAAUGACUGUUGCUAGUGGGCCAAUCUGGGUAAGCUAGAUUGGCGAUGCGGGAUGCUCCGAACGUUAAGUUAAAGUGCCAAAGUAUCCGCUAACCUAGAUCCCACAAAAGGUGUUGGUUCAUUAAGACAGCAGGACGGUGGCCAUGGAAGUCGGAAC
rnacentral:rRNA from 1 species